rnacentral:lncRNA from 1 species
UGGGAGGAGAACGUGCCUGAAGCUCCAGCAGCCAUCCUGGACUGGGAGGUGACCUUGCAGACGGAAGCCACUCGCUGAAGACGUUGGAGCAGAAGGACAGAAGGAGAUGGGAUCCAAUGACUUCCUGUAACCAGCACGACAGCCCUGGGUGGCCGCCUCACGCCUCCUUUCUGUGAGAGAGAAACCACCUCCUCUCUUGUUCCAGAUGCUGUUCUUUGGGGUCUUGUUUAGGCAGCCACCCUGGAUCCUCACAGACAGAGCUGCUGUUAUUAUCCCCAUUUUACACACGAGGAAACUGAGUCCUAAAGAGGUAGAGCCACUUGAUGUGAACCCUGGCUGUCUCACGGCAGGGCGGGCGUGCGUGACCACCAACCUACAGGUGCUUCCCAGCAGAGAAGGCUAACUGCUCACUGCGCUGGGUAAACACUAGCUGGAGGGCGGCCGGGCUCUGCCAACGUGGGAACCAGGAAUGCGAGGGUUUUGGCAGUGGCUUUGUCUGCUGGCUGGGGAACUGCUCUCUGCGUUCUCACCACACUCGAGUUGUCUGGGCUGGGGCCCUACAGCAUUUUGGCAGAGGACCCAGACUGUGGUUAUUAAAUUCCUCAUAUUCUGAUCUGUCCUCAAGGACCCAGUAGACUAAGCAGAGACAAUUAUUGGAGGCUUUUGCAAGAGCGAAGGGGUUCCAGCCCCCCGCGAAACAGGAUGGGGUGGCUAAAGUCCCCUGACAGGGAAUUAGGAUCUGAUCGCUGCAAAGACGAUCUUGUCUAGCAUCUCCCAAAGCAGAACGUUAGUAUCAGGAGAUGUGAAUAGGCGUCCAAAGUAGACAUAUCGACAAUUCGAGAAGCUUGGGAAACUGGACUCAUGACAGGACGUCUCAGAGCCUUUAGCAUGCAUCGGGACACUCCGGGAGGGGAAGGAAAUACACAACCUUCCUUCACAGUAUUUGAAUGUGAGCCCUUUUUUUUUUGAGGAGCAUCUCGAAGGCUGUUUUUCCCCUUUAAAAAGUAUUUUCAACAGAUACCAUUUUCGGAUGAUUGUCUGCAUGCCAGGCAUGGUGCUAUGGAUUAUAUAUGCGCUAUCUCAUUAAUUCUCAGAAAAAUCCAUGAAGUCGGCGCUGGAACUGUUGCCACUUUAUAGAAUCCACCAUGCUAUUCGGCUCAGAGAGGACAGAAUUGGCCACAUCCCACAUAGCUGGUAGGAGGCCAUGCUGGAUCUGGAUUCAGGUUUCUUGACUCCUGUUCCAAGUGUUUUUUCAUACUCUGCUGCUUCUGGAUCCAUGAACAUACGUCAGAUGGUGGGCGAUGUCCCUCUCCCUACACUGCAAACCCAGAGCUGCAGCCAAGAGCCCAGCUCGAGAUGCAGUACACCCUCUGGGCCUGGGUCUUGUCCCACCACCAACAUAACCUCUCAUUCACCCUUACAUACCUAACCUGUGACACAGGGACACACCCUGAAUGGGACCCAUCAGUUGUGGGCCGUGCUCUCCACCACAGGCCCAGCUCAUAGAAGCAAGCCCUAUACUACUUCGGGUGUGUGGUUUUUACUUUUUUAAAUGGUUGAAGAAAAAUAAUAUUUUGUGACACUCUGCUGCAAAUUAUAUGAAAUCCAAAUUUCAGUGUCCAUAAAUAAAGUUUUAUUGGCACACAGCCACACUCACUUGCUUACUUAUUGUCUAUGGCUGCUUGUGUGUUACAAUGGCAGAGCUGACCAGCUGCAAUAGGGGUCCAUGGCCUGUAAAGCUUAAAGUAUUUACCUUUUGGCCCUUGACAGAAAAAGUUCGCUGAUCCCUAUUCCAGACGAAAGAAAUCAAACCCCAACAGCACCAUCAUCCCCAUCUGGUGAUUCCUUCUCAAGCGGCCGAUUCC